rnacentral:misc_RNA from 1 species
ACGAUGCCGCCCGGCGGCAGCUUGAAGGUGAGAUUGUCGAUCAGAAGGCGAUCGUUGAAACCUUUGCUGAGCCCCUCGAAGUCCACCACGUUGUUGCCGAGACGCUCGGCCACCGGAAUGAUGAUCUGCGCGGUCUGGGUCUGCUUCUCGCUGGCCUGCUUGAGCAGGUCCUCAUAGCGCUGAUAGCGCGCCUUGGACUUGGCCUGACGUGCCUUCGGGGAUGAGGCGAUCCACUCCUGCUCGCG